rnacentral:lncRNA from 1 species
UGGUGAAACGAAAAAAAUGAAUGGCAAAGGGGUCGGCUCUUUGCAAUCGAUGAAAUCCUAAUAAAAUAGAGCUCGAUUGGUUUUUUUUUUUUAAUUACAAGUUUACCCUAGGGUCGAUCCUAGGGGUCGACUCAUGGUAAGAAAAAUAAAAAAAUGAUGGAUAAAUUUCAAAAAAGCUUGAAACUUGAAAGAAGAGUGUCUAUUUGAGAGAUUGAUUAUUUGAAGGAUAGUUUUGAGC